GACGAACGCUGGCGGCGGGCUUAACACAUGCAAGUCGAACGGAAAGGCCCUGCUUUUGUGGGGUGCUCGAGUGGCGAACGGGGGAGUAACACGUGAGUAACCGGCCCAUGACUUGGGGAUAACUUCAGGAAACUGGGGCGAAUACCGGAGAGGAGCUCCUGCUGCAUGGGGGGGGUUGGAAAGUUUCGGCGGUUGGGGAUGGACUCGCGGCUUAUCAGCUUGUGGGUGGGGUAGUGGCUUACCAAGGCUUUGACGGGUAGCCGGCCUGGGAGGGUGGCCGGCCACGUUGGGUCUGGGAUGCGGCCCAGCCUCCUCCGGGAGGCAGCGGUGGAGAAUAUUGCACUGUGGGCGGAACCCUGGUGCAGCACCGCCGCGUGCGGGAUGUCGGCCUUCGGGUUGUAUACCGCUUUCGCCUGUGGCGAAGCGUGAGUGACGGUACUGGGUAAAGAAGCCCCGGCUAACUACGUG
rnacentral:rRNA from 1 species